rnacentral:rRNA from 1 species
UACGAAGGGUGCAAGCGUUAUUCGGAUUUACUAAGCGUAAAGCGCGCGCAGGCAGAUAAGCAAGUCAGAUGUGAAAUCUCGGAGCUCAACCCCGAAACUACGUCUGAAACUGCUAAUCUAGAGUCUCGGAGAGGGAUGGGGAAUUUCCUGUGUAGGAGUAAAAUCCGUAGAGAUAGGAAGGAACACCUGAGGCAAAGGCGCCAUCCUGGACAAGUACUAACACUAAAACGCGAAAGCGUAAGGAGCAAACAGGAUUAGAUACCCGUGUAGUCC